UGUUUUAGUUCUUAAUCAGGUGGAUAAAACUUUACUUUCAUAUUUUAAUCUGGAGGCAUAGAGAAUAUAAUCCAUUUAAGUGGCUGAAAGUGAAGAGUUCCAGGCACGUCUUUCCUUCCAAAGAUACCAACAGUAACUGGUGAAGCAACCAGGGCCAGUGUCGGGGAUGCUGGGAACUUGGUUUCUUACAUGGAAAGGAAGUUUGGGAGAGAAUUUGGCAGUUCUGGGGAUCAAGCCAAUGAAGAAUCACUGGCAGCUAGUGCUGGACCUGGACUCGACAACUGGCUGCAUCUAGUCGAAGCUGAGUGUGUCCAGCUGUUUGGCCGAGUGCUUCCCGGUACAGAGGAAACUGGCUCUAAUGGUACACACCUGGGACUCAAGCGCUCAGGUGCUGGAGGUGCGAGCACCAGGAG